rnacentral:rRNA from 1 species
GACGAACGCUGGCGGCGUGCUUAACACAUGCAAGUCGAACGGAAAGGCCCUGCUUUUGUGGGGUGCUCGAGUGGCGAACGGGUGAGUAACACGUGAGUAACCUGCCCUUGACUUUGGGAUAACUUCAGGAAACUGGGGCUAAUACCGGAUAGGAGCUCCUGCUGCAUGGUGGGGGUUAGAAAGUUUCGGCGGUUGGGGAUGGACUCGCGGCUUAUCAGCUUGUUGGUGGGGUAGUGGCUUACCAAGGCUUUGACGGGUAGCCGGCCUGAGAGGGUGACCGGCCACAUUGGGACUGAGAUACGGCCCAGGCUCCUACGGGAGGCAGCAGUGGGGAAUAUUGCACAAUGGGCGGAAGCCUGAUGCAGCAACGCCGCGUGCGGGAUGACGGCCUUCGGGUUGUAAACCGCUUUCGCCUGUGACGAAGCGUGAGUGACGGUAAUGGGUAAAGAAGCACCGGCUAACUACGUG